GCUGCGUGGUGCUUGGUUGCUGGCUGGGGUUAAACCACAACAGUGGAAAACCAACCACACUUUCUUGAGAAUAUAGCUGAAAACAGGCAUUCAUGUCCACUGACCUUUCUGAGGUCAUGGAAACAUAGCAAUUGAGAACCGGACACAGACAAAUGUCAACUCUUACCCAGCUGUAGAUGGCUCAGUUAUAUGGAAACCAAAUAAAUGUCAAAAUAAAAACAAACCAAAACAAAUCAAGAUUCCAAGAAAAUCCCAAUGCAACUAUAGCUCUUAUCAAAUUACAGAAAGUCCCUUCUUCUCCUGAACAGAUUUUCAGAAUGAACAAAAGGUCUAUCUAUCAGCACUUACGAGAUGCAACAAGAUGAAUUUUAGUUGUGCAGUACAAUAUAUUA